AACUCUGGCAGAUUGUUUUGAAUUGUAAGAUCCUCCACAUCUAAUAACACAAGUCAGUCAUUUCAGUUCAGUCAAUUUUUUUAUUUUUUUUUAUUUCAUAGCAGGUCCAUCAGCCUCCACCUCUACCUCCAUCAUUGGUUUCAUCCAAGAAGCUGACAGUGCUGGUCUACCUGUGCCUACUGAAGUGGAGAACAGUACCAUCGUGCUUACUACCACACCAGGCUCUCCAGUUUCUACUCCUCCAGUGUAUACAGUAGUUUUAGUCUCUUAAUCUCUUGUCUGGCUGUUAAUAAAGAUUUAAGCUUUGGUCAUAAUCACUU